UGAGUACGAGAUGCUACGGCAUCGAAGCAGUCUAUGUCAUACUUCCAAGAAAAGCUCGCACUGUCAUAAACAAAUAAUGCCUGUACCAUAACCGACACAGGUGGGUAGGUAGAGUAUACUAAGGGGCGCGAGAUAACUCUCUCUAAGGAACUCGGCAAAAUGACUCCGUAACUUCGGGAGAAGGAGUGCCUUAUUUAUAAGGUUGCAAUAACAAGAUCCAAGCAACUGUUUAUCAAAAACACAGGUCUCCGCUAAGUCGUAAGACGAUGUAUGGGGGCUGACGCCUGCCCAGUGCCAGAAGGUUAAAGAAGUUGGUUAGCAUUAGCGAAGCUGAUAACUGAAGCCCUGGUGAACGGCGGCCGUAACAAUAACGGUCCUAAGGUUGCGAAAUUCCUUGUCGGGUAAGUUCCGACCCGCACGAAAGGCGUAAUGAUUUGGAUACUGUCUCGGAGAGGGGCUCGGUGAAAUAGACUUGUCUGUGAAGAUGCGGACUACCUGCACCAGGACAGAAAGACCCUAUGAAGCUUUACUGUAACUUGAAAUUGAAAUUGGACUUUAUUUGCGCAGCAUAGGUGGGAGGCGUUGAAAAUAUUCUCGCGGGAAUAUUAGAGCCAUCAGUGAGAUACCACUCUUGUAAUGUUAGAUUUCUAACUUUGUAUCAUUAUCUGGUCAAAGAACAGUUUCAGGCGGGCAGUUUGACUGGGGCGGUCGCCUCCUAAACGGUAACGGAGGCGCACAAAGGUUUCCUCUGAACGGGUAGAAAUCGUAUCUAGAGUGUAAAGGCAUAAGGAAGCUUGACUGUGAGACCUACAAGUCGAGCAGGGACGAAAGUCGGUCUUAGUGAUCUGACGGUGCUGAGUGGAAAGGCCGUCACUCAACGGAUAAAAGUUACUCUAGGAUAACAGGCUGAUCUCCCCCAAGAGUUCACAUCGACGGGGAGGUUUGGCACCUCGAUGUCGGCUCAUCGCAUCCUGGGGCGGUAGUACGUCCCAAGGGUUGGGCUGUUCGCCCAUGAAAGCGGUACGCGAGCUGGGUUCAGAACGUCGUGAGACAGUUCGGUCCAUAUCCGGUGUAGGCGUUAGAAUAUUGAGAGGAGCCUUCUUUAGUACGAGAGGACCGAGAAGGACAUACCUCUGGUGUACCAGUUAUCGUGCCAACGGUAAACGCUGGGUAGCUAUGUAUGGAGAGGAUAACCGCUGAAAGCAUCUAAGUGGGAAGCCCACCUCAAGAUAAGUAUUCUC
rnacentral:rRNA from 1 species